GCCGCCGCGGCGUCGCCCCUGCCGCUCCGGCCCCGAACUGCUGCCCAGUUGACGGAGAAGAAUAUGGCCGCCGCGGUGGCGCUGCCAUCGCCGUGGCGGGAUCCGUUCGAUUCGAGGUCCUUUCCGGCGGUCAUGGCCAUGACCAGUGAUAGUUUAGGUCAGUGCUAGCCAAUGUGCAGGUGGAAUUCAGAAAAUUGUAUCUGCUACUUCAUCCACAGGAUUUACGACAAUCCGUCAGUCGUCAGAAGCAUUCUACGGUCGAUGUGUGGAUCAUCUGGGGUGUAUAACAUGAGAGAGGCGGUCAGAUUUUUUUCUCAGGUAUUUCUCAACCAGCUGCUUUGGUGGAGUGACCUUGGUAUCCAUGCAUAUGACAUGAGAUCACUCAGCCAACUCUUCACCAUUCAACAGCCAUGUCAAAACUGCCAUUGCAGUUCAGUGCAGCACCUGACACUGGCUUGUAGCACUCCCUUAGUUGGCCUAGUGAUGUGUGAUGGCUUUCCCUGUCUCAGAGAGUUUCAGAGAAGUGCAGUAUUAAACCUUUAUCAGGUAAUUACUGAGUAAAUUUUCUCCAUGUAUUGAUGUUCUUAGCUACACACAGAACACUUUACUCAUUUCCUUGAAAGGUACAGUAUGUAAGACCUUGUAACCAAAACAGCUGAUUGCUUACUAAAGUACACCUCAUGAGCAGACAACAGACUGGUGAAUUUUGAUUUAUC